rnacentral:rRNA from 1 species
ACUCCUACGGGAGGCAGCAGUGGGGAAUAUUGCACAAUGGGCGCAAGCCUGAUGCAGCCAUGCCGCGUGUGUGAAGAAGGCCUUCGGGUUGUAAAGCACUUUCUAGUUGUGAGGAAGGUGGUGUCGUUAAUAGCGGCAUCAUUUGACGUUAGCAACAGAAGAAGCACCGGCUAACUCCGUGCCAGCAGCCGCGGUAAUACGGAGGGUGCGAGCGUUAAUCGGAAUUACUGGGCGUAAAGCGCAUGCAGGUGGUUUGUUAAGUCAGAUGUGAAAGCCCGGGGCUCAACCGUCGGAACUGCAUUUGAAACUGGCAGACUAGAGUACUGUAGAGGGGGUAGAAUUUCAGGUGUAGCGGUGAAAUGCGUAGAGAUCUGAAGGAUACCGGUGCGAAGCGGCCCCUGGACAGAUACUGACACUCAGAUGCGAAAGCGUGGGAGCAAACAGGAUUAGAUACCCCGUGUAGCACAGAG